rnacentral:rRNA from 1 species
GAUGAACGCUGGCGGUAUGCCUAACACAUGCAAGUCGUACGAGAGUUUUUAACUCUAGUGGCGGACGGGUGAGUAACACGUGAGAAUUUGCCUUUAGGAGGGGGAUAACAAUUGGAAACGAACGCUAAUACCCCAUAUGCUUUUGAGUGAAAUGGAUUUUAUCCGCCUAGAGAGAAGCUCGCGGCUGAUUAGCUUGUUGGUAAGGUAAGAGCUUACCAAGGCGACGAUCAGUAUCUGGUUUGAGAGGACGAUCAGACACACUGGAACUGAGACACGGUCCAGACUCCUACGGGAGGCAGCAGUGGGGAAUUUUCCGCAAUGGGCGAAAGCCUGACGGAGCAAUACCGCGUGAGGGAAGACUGCCUAUGGGUUGUAAACCUCUUUUUUCAGGGAGGAAUAAAUGACGUGUACCUGAAGAAUAAGCAUCGGCUAACUCCGUG